UACGAAGGGUGCAAGCGUUAUUCGGAAUUACUGGGCGUAAAGCGCGCGUAGGCGGUUUGGUAAGUCUGUUGUGAAAGCCCCGGGCUCAACCUGGGAAUGGCAAUGGAUACUGGCAAGCUAGAGUGCGGUAGAGGGUAGUGGAAUUCCCGGUGUAGCGGUGAAAUGCGCAGAUAUCAGGAGGAACACCGAUGGCGAAGGCAGGUCUCUGGGCCGCUACUGACGCUGAGAAGCGAAAGCGUGGGGAGCAAACAGG
rnacentral:rRNA from 1 species